CCGGGCCCCGGGGCCUUUUGGCUGAAUCUGCGCCGCCGCUGUCUGGCUUGGCUGUUCUUAUUGAAAACUAUCUUGGCUUGGAUUGAGUUCACUCCCUGACAUUGAUGGCGAAGUGACCGCCUGCGGCUUGCUGCAGGGUUUCAUCUACUUAAUGCUGCCCCAACAUGUCUGCUGAAGAUGAUCAGUCAUC